CCUCACAGCUCAGACAUGAAGCCCAUCCUCAUCUCAGUGCUUGUGAUGAUGUUCACACUCAGAGGAGCAAGAGCCCAGACAGUGACUCAGCCUGAGGACCGCAUCUCUGUCAUUGAAGGGGCCCCAGUGCAGGUGAAGUGCAACUACUCUUAUUCCGGGAGUCCUGAUCUCUUCUGGUACGUCCAGUACCCCAAACAAGGCCUCCAGUUACUCCUGAAACACACCUCAGGAGAGAGCAUCAAAGGUUUCACGGCCAACCUUAACAAGAGUGAGAAGUCCUUCCAUCUGAAGAAACUAUCAGCUCAAGAGGAAGACUCAGCCAUGUAUUACUGCGCUCUGAGUGACACAGUGACUGGUUUUACAAGGAAAGCAGAGCACAAACCCUUUGGGAGUUACAGAAAAUAUUUCUUUGUCAGUUCUCUAUUUAGCCACCGUGGGGCAUUCUUUCUCUAGAGACUGAUGCUGAAUUUACCUCUUAGACGCAAUAUC